ACUUCUCGGGAUUACCCCCCUCCCCCCGCUCCUCCAAGUGCCGUUUCGGUUUAACCUAGUGUGUGACUGUGAGUCUGUGUGAGGGAGCGAGUGAGUGUGUGAGGUAUUGAGGUGAGGCGGAAGCUAGAAACGGGGCUCCCUCAAGAGCGAGGGACAAAGGGGGUGUGAGGCGCCUAGGUCGCGGGACCCCAGCGACAGGAAGCCGCCCCGAGCCGGGCUACCGGGUAGGGGAAGGGCCCGCGCAGUCCUCACAGGGCCCCAGAGCCCGAGUCGGCCCCACAGCCCCGGGCCGCCGGCUUCCUACUUCCUCGACCUCCUUCCUGGGCGCCUAGGCCUGAGGAUUGGCUCGGCUGGAGUUGGAGGGGAAACAGACUCGAGCGGCAGUCCGUUGUCUCACAACUCCACUGCUGAGGAACUCUCAUUUCUUCUCUGGCUCCUUCACCCCCUACCUCAUGUAGGAGGGUGCUGAGGAGUCGGGAGGGAGGAGGAGCCUGGGCUACCGUCCCUUCCCUCCCCACCCCCUUGUAGGGGUGAUUUUGUAGGCGUGGGGCUGGGGUUGGGGGGGAGGGUGGGGGUUACUUUUUGGAGUGCUGGGGAACUUUUUCCCCUUUUUGAGGCCUGGGGAAAGGGAAUGCCCAAUCCAGAGAGACAUGGGGGCAAGAAGGACGGGAGCGGAGGAGCUUCUGGAACUUUGCAGCCGUCAUCGGGAGGUGGCAGCUCCAACAGCAGAGAGCGUCACCGCUUGGUGUCGAAGCACAAGCGGCAUAAGUCCAAGCACUCCAAAGACAUGGGGUUGGUGACCCCCGAAGCAGCACCUUUGGGUACAAUUAUCAAACCUUUGGUGGAGUAUGAUGACAUUAGCUCAGAUUCUGAUACCUUCUCUGACGACAUGGCCUUCAAACUGGACAGGAGGGAGAAUGAUGAACGUCGCGGGACUGAUCGGAGUGACCGACUGCACAAACACCGUCACCAUCAGCACAGACGUUCCCGGGACUUACUAAAAACUAAACAGACAGAGAAAGAAAAAAACCUGGAAACCUUUAGCAAGUCGGGAUCGAUGAAGGACCGGGUAUCAGGAACUUCGAAGCGUUCAAAUGAGGAGAAUGAUGACCAUGGGAAGGCGCAGAUCUCCAAAAGCAGCAGCAACAAGGAAUCCAGGUCAUCCAAACUCCAUAAGGAGAAGACCCGGAAAGAACGUGAGUUGAAGUCUGGGCACAAAGACCGGAGUAAAAGUCAUCGGAAAAGGGAAACACCCAAAAGUUACAAAACAGUGGACAGCCCCAAACGGAGGUCCAGGAGUCCCCACCGGAAAUGGUUGGAUAGCCCCAAGCAAGAUGAUAGCCCGUCAGGAGCUUCUUAUGGCCAAGAUUAUGACCUUAGUCCCCCAAGAUCUCACACUUCUAGCAAUUAUGACUCCUACAAGAAGAGUCCGGGAAGUACCUCAAGAAGGCAGUCCGUCAGCCCACCUUACAAGGAGCCUUCGGCCUACCAAUCCAGCACCCGGUCACCCAGUCCCUACAGUAGAAGACAGAGGUCCGUGAGUCCCUAUAGCCGGCGACGUUCAUCCAGCUAUGAAAGGAGUGGCUCUUACAGUGGGAGAUCACCAAGCCCUUACGGUCGAAGGCGGUCCAGCAGCCCAUUCCUGAGCAAGCGGUCUCUGAGCCGGAGUCCUCUCCCCAGUAGAAAAUCCAUGAAGUCUAGAAGUAGAAGUCCUGUGUAUUCAAGACACUCAUCUUCCCAUAGUAAAAAGAAGAGAUCCGGGUCACGCAGUCGACAUUCCAGUAUCUCACCUGUCAGGCUUCCGUUGAACUCCAGCUUGGGAGCUGAACUCAGUAGGAAAAAGAAGGAAAGAGCAGCAGCUGCUGCUGCAGCAAAAAUGGAUGGAAAGGAAUCCAAGGGUUCACCUAUAUUUUUGCCUAGAAAAGAGAACAGUUCAGUAGAAGCUAAGGAUUCAGGCUUGGAGUCUAAAAAGUUACCCAGGGGUGUAAAAUUGGAAAAAUCUGCCCCAGAUACUGAACUGGUGAAUGUAACACAUCUAAACACAGAGGUCAAAAAUUCUUUAGACACAGGGAAAGUAAAGUCGGAUGAGAACUCUGAGAAGCAUCCUGUCCUAAAAGAUUUGAAAGUACAGGCAACGAAAGACUCUAAACCUGUAGCACUGAAAGAGGAGAUUGUUACUCCAAAAGAGACAGAGACGUCUGAAAAGGAGAUCCUUCCACCUCUCCCCACAGUUACUUCUCCACCUCCUUUACCAACUACUACCCCUCCACCUCAGACACCCCCCUUGCCACCUUUGCCUCCACUACCAGCUAUUCCACAGCAACCACCUCUGCCUCCUCCCCAACCAGCAUUUAGUCAGGUUCUUGCUUCUAGUACUUCAACUUUGCCCCCUUCUACUCACCCACGGACAUCUACUCUGUCCUCUCAGGCAAAUUCUCAGCCCCCUGUACAGGUUUCUGUGAAGACUCAAGUAUCUGUAACAGCUGCUAUUCCACAUCUAAAAACUUCAACGUUGCCUCCUCUGCCUCUCCCACCCUUAUUACCUGGAGAUGAUGACAUGGAUAGUCCAAAAGAAACCCUACCUUCAAAACCUGUAAAGAAAGAGAAGGAACAAAGGCCACGUCACCUACUCACAGACCUCCCUCUCCCUCCAGAGCUCCCUGGUGGGGAUCCAUCUCCCCCAGACUCUCCAGAACCAAAGGCAAUCACACCACCUCAGCAACCAUACAAAAAGAGACCAAAAAUUUGUUGUCCUCGUUACGGAGAAAGAAGACAAACAGAAAGUGACUGGGGGAAACGCUGUGUGGACAAGUUUGACAUUAUUGGGAUUAUUGGAGAGGGAACCUAUGGCCAAGUAUAUAAAGCCAAGGACAAAGAUACAGGAGAGCUAGUAGCUCUGAAGAAGGUGAGACUGGACAAUGAAAAAGAGGGCUUCCCAAUCACAGCCAUUCGUGAGAUCAAAAUCCUUCGCCAGCUAAUCCACCGAAGUGUUGUUAACAUGAAGGAAAUUGUCACAGAUAAGCAAGAUGCACUGGACUUCAAGAAGGACAAAGGAGCCUUUUACCUUGUGUUUGAGUAUAUGGACCAUGACUUAAUGGGACUGUUGGAAUCUGGUUUGGUGCACUUUUCUGAGGACCAUAUCAAGUCAUUCAUGAAACAGCUGAUGGAAGGAUUGGAUUACUGUCACAAAAAGAAUUUCCUGCAUCGGGAUAUUAAGUGUUCUAACAUUUUGCUGAACAACAGUGGGCAGAUCAAACUAGCAGAUUUUGGACUUGCUCGGCUCUAUAAUUCUGAAGAGAGUCGUCCUUAUACAAACAAAGUCAUUACUCUGUGGUACCGACCUCCAGAACUUCUGCUGGGAGAAGAGCGUUAUACACCAGCAAUAGAUGUUUGGAGCUGUGGAUGCAUCCUUGGGGAACUGUUCACAAAGAAGCCUAUUUUUCAAGCCAAUCUGGAACUGGCUCAGCUAGAACUGAUCAGUCGACUCUGUGGUAGCCCUUGUCCAGCUGUGUGGCCUGAUGUUAUCAAGCUGCCCUAUUUCAAUACAAUGAAACCGAAGAAGCAGUAUAGAAGGCGCCUACGAGAAGAAUUCUCUUUCAUUCCUUCAGCAGCACUUGAUUUACUGGACCACAUGCUGACACUAGAUCCUAGCAAACGUUGUACAGCUGAACAGACCCUACAGAGUGACUUCCUUAAAGAUGUCGAGCUCAGCAAAAUGGAUCCUCCAGACCUACCCCACUGGCAGGAUUGCCAUGAAUUAUGGAGUAAGAAAAGGCGACGGCAGCGACAAAGUGGUGUAUUGGUCGAAGAGCCACCUCCACCUAAAGCCUCUCGAAAAGAAACUAUCUCAGGGACAAGUGCUGAGCCUGUGAAGAACAGCAGCCCAGCACCACCUCAGCCUGCUCCUGGCAAGAUGGAGCCUGGGGCUGGGGAUGCAAUAGGCCUUGGUGACAUCACACAGCAGUUGAAUCAAAGCGAAUUGGCAGUGUUAUUAAACCUGCUGCAGAGCCAAACCGACCUGAGCAUUCCUCAAAUGGCACAGCUGCUUAACAUCCACUCCAACCCAGAGAUACAACAGCAGCUGGAGGCCCUGAACCAGUCUAUCAGUGCCCUAACGGAAGCUGCUUCCCAGCAGCAGGACUCAGAGUCCAUAGUCCCAGAGGAGUCUUUAAAGGAGGCACCCCCUGCCCCAGUGGUCCAGCCUUCAGCAGAACAGACAACCCCUGAAGCUUCAAGCACACCAGCUGACAUGCAGAAUAUGUUGGCAGUUCUCUUGGGUCAACUGAUGAAAACCCAGGAGCCAGCAGGCAACCUGGAGGAAAACAACAGUGACAACAAGAACAGUGGGCCACAGGGGCCCCGAAGAACUCCCACAAUGCCACAGGAGGAGGCAGCAGCAUGUCCUCCUCACAUUCUUCCACCAGAGAAGAGGCCCCCUGAGCCCCCCGGACCUCCACCGCCGCCACCUCCACCCCCUCUGGUUGAAGGCGAUCUUUCCAGCGCCCCCCAGGAGUUGAACCCAGCUGUGACAGCCGCCUUGCUGCAACUUUUAUCCCAGCCUGAAGCAGAGCCUCCUGGCCACCUGCCACAUGAGCACCAGGCCUUGAGACCAAUGGAUUACUCCACCCGACCCCAUCCCACCAGGACUUACGGAAACACUGAUGGGCCUGAAACAGGGUUCAGUGCCACUGACACUGAUGAACGCAACUCUGGUCCAGCCUUGACAGAAUCCUUGGCCCAGACCCUGGUGAAGAACAGGACCUUCUCCGGCUCUGUGAGCCACCUUGGGGAGUCCAGCAGUUACCAGGGCACAGGGUGGCAACAGCAACAGGAGGGAUGGCCCUGAGGAAUUUGGUAAUGUCCAUCAGUCACCUGACAUCUGGAGCCCUGGCAAAUUCAGUCUCUUUCACAGACUUUAAAGCCAGGUUUGAAGGGAGAUUUCCCCUGUCCAAACACUGUGCAAGACACUAGAAGUAGAGGUCUAUCAGCCCACUUACGUCCAUCCUCAAUGCCCAGAAGUGGGCAAGUCACCAACCUACAGUGCCCACUCCUGCCCUUUUUUCUGCCAGAUGUGAAAAUGGAGACUCAGAGAAGGGAAGUCAGUUGAAUCCUGUCUUGCUUUGUGUGUCUGGAUUUGGAGAGUUCCUGGGAACACAGGGGCAGGUAGGGUGCGAGAAAGAAAGUCAAGGCAAGAGUUCCGGCAGGAUACUAUUCUCCAUUGCUUGGAGUCUCAUAUCUCUGGCCCCUGAGUCUUGGAAGCAACUCAGGGGAGUCAGGUGCGUUAUUGGGAGACGCUUUCCCCGUUCCAGAGAUCAUCUCAUCCAUUUCCUUGCUUCCAAGUAGGCAGAUCCCCCGGAACCUCCUACUCUCAUGAAGCUUUACCAUAUUCUAAAAGGUCUACAGGGAAGGAAAUACACCAACUACCCCAGUCCUUUAACCAAGAAAUAAAUGUCCCCAAUGGUGACUAAAUAUUAAGCUUUUUAUGAGAUCUUAUCACAAGUUUUUCUGCUGCAAUAUUAGCUACUGGAGAAAAUUAUGCCAAAAAAUCCAGCAAGGAGUGGUUUUAUCCCAUGUCUAAGUCAAAAAGAGAGAAAUAAAACUCGAGGCCCCGAAAGUGGUAGGAAAUGCCCCUGGAUUCAUCUGGUGCCAUGUCCAGCGCUCUCAGUAAGCUCCACUUGGCUUUAUGUGGUGUCAGUACACACUGGAGAGAAGGGCACAUUUCCAGCUGUCCCCGUCCCACCCCCACCUCCUCCACUGGGUUAAGAAAGAAUGAUGGAGAGAAGUGGCUUGCCCACCCCGUUGCCAAAGUUGGCAUUUCCUGGCUUCUUCCUUCCUCAAAAAAUUCAGCAUUCUGGAGUUUCCUGUUGUGGAACAGUGGUUAAUGAAUCCGACUGGGAACCAUGAGGUUGCGGGUUCGAUCCCUGGCCUUGCUCAGUGGGUUAAGGAUCUGGUGUUGCCGUGAGCUGUGGUGUAGGUCGCAGAUGCCGCUCGGAUCCCGAGUUGCUGUGGCUCUGGCAUAGGCCGGUGGCUACAGCUCCGAUUAGACCCCUAGCCUGGGAACCUCCAUAUGCCAGGGGAAGAGGCCCUAGAAAAGGCAAAAAGACAAAAAAAAAAAAAAAAAUUCAGCAUUCUUUGUUCUGUGUUUCAUGAGACUCAUUUGAGGUCAGGGCAAGGAUGGGCACAGAGCUUGGAAAGCAGUGUGGGUAGAAACUUUGUGACACUCUCCAAGCCUCAAAUACUUAUCCCCUACUCCCAAAAUGGUCUUUUUCUCUGUCUUAGUACACCAUUUAAUAUCCUCAGAGCCCCUAGGGAAGAGCAAAAUAUGCCCCAGACCCACCCUGCCUGUCCUUAGACCCUCAGGGUCAUCUCCUUGGUAUUUGAUCCUCUGCCUUCUCUAUUCCCAACAUGAUGAGAAGGACCCCCUUGCAUUGUCCCAAGACAGCUUGGAUGGAAUCCAUCUAGCUACGCCCUGCUUCCAAGGGCCUGCAGGGGUGAGAGUGGGGGAGGAAAACUGUGCCAGGGGGCUGAAAAGGAAGAUUCUUUUAUAGGGGGAGAUCGAAGAGGAGCCUGUAAAAGGGGAGAAGAUAAACGGGGACCUGUGGUCCCACCUGUGGGGCUGCCUACCUAAUGUAAGACAGGCCAUUCUCACUGAGUGUUAUUCAAGGGCCUUAUUAGAUGGCUCCUGCUUACAGAGCUACUCUUUCUCCUCUGAAAUAGAGAGCCGUGGAGGAGCAUGCGGUGAAGAAAGAGAGGAGGUGUCAGGCUUCCUGUAAGCCCUCUUUCUCACCCCUUGCCCGUCCCUACUCCAAGACUGGAGGUAUACUGGAGGGGCUAAAAGGCCCUUAAAGCAUUCAAUCUAGACUCUCCAUGUUUCUGUAAGGAACAAGCCCUCCUUCCCCUCGACCCCUACCAGCCCCACUUCAUACUCUCAAGGUUUAGCCAAGGGUAUGACUACAGUGCUGGAGUCAGAGCCUGGAGCCUGCUCUGGAGUCCAGAAGAAACUCUGAGCCUUUGCAGGGAAAGAGGGAUAGACCUGAGGUAAGUGGAAGGCAGUAGUACCCAGAACCCCCUGCACUCUAGAGAGGAGGGAAUUGUUGAGGAGCUCAGGACUGGCCCAGGGUUUAGCUUUUGCUCUGAUGGGACUCCUUUCCUCCUCCUCCCCCAGUGUGUCCCAUUGGUUGGGGAGAGAGCUGGAUGUCUGAACCUCCCACCUUGACACCUCGAAGGCUCUCGUGCAGAUCCCCUCUCUAGCUCCCCAAGCCAUGGAGAAGGUGAAGGAAGGCAGUUCAGAGGUGGCAGUGCCAUGAUGUCCAUCAGCACCAGGGAGAGAAGCCAAGGAGAAGAAACAGUGACCAGAGAAGGGGCCAGGAGGAGAAGCGUGCUUCUGAAACAGCCUUCAGACCCUGUCCCCUCCCGCGCCCGCUCUCACACGCCAACAAGGCUGUGCACCCAAGUUGUGCCAGCUCUCCUGGCUGGUGCUCCUGCUCUGCCGUACAGGCAGCUGGCCCCCUGCUCCAGCACAGAGCACAUGCUGGGGUCUCUCACGCUUCUUUCCUCACUCAUCUCAGUGUGUCUGUGGUACAGAUUCCUAGGGAUGAAGGAGGGGGCUGUGGCCCUGCGAGUAGGAAGAUGGUGGGCUCGGGGCCCUUUGGGUGAGUAUCUGCCUGGCUAGAGCGGCUGAUGGGGGGAAGAAGGCUGCUGGCAGCUCAGCGGAAUCCAGGGUUCUGGUGACUCAUAGCAAUGGGGGUGGCUCAUGAAAACAGCAGAGGGGAAGGGGGCCCAGGCCUGUUGGAGCUCUCUUUUGCCCCAGAUCCCCCCUACUCUGAGCUCUCUAUUGUGGGGCAAGAGGAGGCCGCAGCUAAGAGAAAAGAGAGGGAAAUGGAAGAGAACUAGUAGGCGAGGCUGAGCAUUCCCAGGGAGAGGCUUCCUUGUGAGGAAAGGGUAGGAGAGGCCAGUCAUUCUUGCCCUACUGUGUCCGUGGGCUGCACACAGGGGAAGUGCCGCUCUGCACUUCUGGGCACCUUCCCAGAGAGGGACCUUCCAGGCAGACAUAGCUAUUUCCUCCCUGCCCUCAUUCGCCUGUUCAGACCUCUGGGUACCUAGGUGACACCACAUGACUUAAAAUUUAAAAAGAAAAGGAACGGAAAGCACUAUUACAAGACCAGAGCCUGGAAGGCUUAUCACUUGGUCUCAGUAUUCUCUUUUCCGGAAACAGAGACCACGAUCUUCAAGGCGCUGACUCCCUCCUCCCGAAGGGCAGGUGGGCAACGUGCGUCUCUUCUCCAGAUGACGUUCUCAAUCAGGGGCAUAGGGUACUGUGUUUGAGGUCACACAGCACGAGCAGAACAGGGCCAGAAGGUGGACCGGGAGAACCAGUGAUGCCUCUGGCCACAGUCCCGGGAGCCUCCCUGUUUCAGCCAAAGGAAAUAGGGUUCUUGGAUAUCAGUAUAUCCAGAUGCAUAAUGGAUAUUCUCUUUCUAACCUCAGAGAAGAAUAGGCUAAGAGGAGGCGGGUUUUCUGACAGAGCUUAAGUUUUCAUUUGCCUAUUUCUUUUCUCCUUUUUUGUUUUUGACCACACCUGAGGCGUGUGGAAGUUCCCAGGCCAGGGAUCGAACCUGAGCCACAGCAGCAACCCAAGCCACAGCAGGAAAAAGCCAGAUCCUUAACCCACUGUGCCACAAGAAGACUCCUUUAUUUGCCUAUUUCUAUUCCUUUCACUGCCGGUGGCUCUGCUGUCCAGCUGGAACGAGGGGCUGUCUGUCAGGAUGCUCCUGGGGAUCCAGGAACAGUUUUGAUUGGAGAAAGGGACAGACUAGCUACUCUUCCUAUAGGGAGAUGGGGCCAACUCCACUCCCCCAGCUCUCCCUGGCAGCAUCACAAACCCAGGGGCCCCUGUUAGAACACCCAUAAUAAAGCUCAGUCCUGGAGCUCCCGCUGUGCUGCAAUAGGAUUGGCGUCUCUGCCAGCACGCAGGUUUGAUCCCCUGCCCGGCACAGUGGGUUAAAGGAUCCUGCGUUGCUGCAGCUGCAAUGACGGUCGCACUGCAGCUCAGAUCUGAUCUGGGAACUCAACAUGCUGGGGGUCGGCCAGAAAAGAAAACGAAAUAAAGCUCAAUCCUGAACAGAA